ACUCAAAGGAAUUGACGGGGGCCCGCACAAGCGGUGGAGUAUGUGGUUUAAUUCGACGCAACGCGAAGAACCUUACCCAGCCUUGACUUCUCUGGAACCUGGUGGAAACACUGGGGUGUCCUCGCAAGAGGAAGCCAGAAGACAGGUGCUGCAUGGCUGUCGUCAGCUCGUGUCGUGAGAUGUUCGGUUAAGUCCGGCAACGAGCGCAACCCCUGCUUCCAGUUGCCAUCAUUCAGUUGGGAACUCUGGAGGAACUGCCGGCGCCAAGCCGGAGGAAGGUGGGGACGACGUCAAGUCAUCAUGGCCUUUAUGGCUGGGGCUACACACGUACUACAAUGGCAUCUACAGAGGGCUGCGAAGCGGCGACGUGAAGCAAAUCCCAAAAAAGGUGCCUCAGUUCGGAUCGCAGUCUGCAACUCGACUGCGUGAAGUUGGAAUCGCUAGUAAUCGCGGAUCAGAAUGCCGCGGUGAAUACGUUCCCGGGCCUUGUACACACCGCCCGU
rnacentral:rRNA from 1 species